AGAAAACCAGGGGCGAUUCAGGGAUUCAAAAUCCGCCGGUGAAUAACCGUGUCGGUUCGAGUCCGACCCCAGGCACCA
rnacentral:tRNA from 1 species